rnacentral:rRNA from 1 species
CCUGUUUAACAAAAACAUGUCUUUUUGAGUUAUUUUUAAAGUCUGACCUGCCCACUGAAGUUAUUUAAAUGGCCGCAGUAUUCUAACUGUGCAAAGGUAGCAUAAUCAUUAGUCUUUUAAUUGAAGGCUGGUAUGAACGGUUGGACGAGGUAUAAGCUGUUUCAUAUAAAUUUAUAGUAGAAUUUUAUAUUUUAGUCAAAAAGCUAAAAUUUAAUUAAAAGACGAGAAGACCCUAUAAAUCUUUAUACUUUACAUUGUUUAAAUUUUUUAGAUUAAUUUUAUUUUUAUAAUUUAAAGUAUUUUGUUGGGGUGAUAUUAAAAUUUAAUGAACUUUUAAUUAUUUAAAAUCAUUAAUUUAUGAGUUAUUGAUCCAUUAGUAGUGAUUAUAAGAUUAAGUUACUUUAGGGAUAACAGCGUAAUUUUUUUGGAGAGUUCAUAUCGAUAAAAAAGUUUGCGACCUCGAUGUUGGAUUAAGAUAUAUUUUUAGGUGUAGCCGCUUAAAU